CCAAUAGCGUAUAUUAAAGUUGCUGCAGUUAAAAAGCUCGUAGUUGAAUUUCGGGACCAAUAUGUCGGUCGUGCCUCGGUACGUACUGGCAUCGUUGGUUUCUCCCUUCUGACGAACCAUGAUGUCAUUUAUUUGGUGUCGUGGGGAAUCAGGACUGUUACUUUGAAAAAAUUAUUAGAGUGUUUAAAGCAGGCUCACGCUUGAAUACAUUAGCAUGGAAUAAUGAAAUAGGACGUUUGAUUCUAUUUUGUUGGUUUCUAGGAUCGACGUAAUGAUUAAUAGGGAUAGUUGGGGGCAUUAGUAUUCAAUUGUCAGAGGUGAAAUUCUUGGAUUUAUUGAAGACUAACUACUGCGAAAGCAUUUGCCAAGGAUGUUUUCAUUAAUCAAGAACGAAAGUUAGGGGAUCGAAGACGAUCAGAUACCGUCGUAGUCUUAACCAUAAACUAUGCCGACUAGGGAUCGGAUGAUGUUAAUUUUUUAAUGACUCAUUCGGCGCCUUACG
rnacentral:rRNA from 1 species